GUUUAAAUCAGUGCUAGUAGUAGUAGUUUACAGCUCAAUGUAAAAACAUUUUACUGAUGUGAAAAAAAGCAUUGAAGAUAGUCUAGUAUUCAUAGAUCCACAGGAAAUUUUUAGAUCUAUUAGAAUAAUGAAGAUACAUGUAGUCAUUCCUCUUUUUUAUUUUCCCAUUUCCAUGUUGUACGUUUGUGGUAUUACAAAGCAUUAACUGUAAAAUAUCUUGGGAUUUCUGCAUAAUACAAACAUGCAGUGAUUUUGAAAUGAAUUCACAUGAAAUGUGAUUUUUUGAAAUAUUUUUAUGGCUGCAUCUUAUAUUGCAGUGUUGCAGAUUUAGUUAGUGUAUUUGUGUUUGAUAAUAUAUACUUUGUAUAAUAUAUGUACAUUUUUUUUUUUAUUAUAUUCACUGUUAGUUAAAAAUGCACUGUACUAGUGAUUGCAUGUUUUAAUAGUGUAUAUAAUUGGAUUGUCUAACAUAUGCAUAUUGAUUGUUUUAAUUUGUGAAUGAAUUAAUUUGUAACGGGCUUUCCAUUUUUAUCUACAUGCAUGCACAUGUAAUUAGUGAUUGAUAUCUGGUGGAACAUGUGUUGUGUGUCAUAACAAGAUGUCCAAUGUGACAUUUGUCCAUAAUUAGUGCUAUCUGUGUGAAUAUCAUGAACAGUCUCUUGUCUUUGUUAAAAAGACAGUGAUUGUCAAAGAGUCAACAAAUACCGGUAGUAAAUCCUUACUGACUGAAUAUUGUAUACGGGGAAAUAUUCGCCCUUAUUUUAUUUUCGCCCUUUUGUCCUCAUCAGAGGGCAGAUUUAAUACUUGGCAAAUUCCAAUAUCUCAAAUCAUUUCUCUUUAAAAAUAGCUGCUUCUGGGCGAAUUUAAGAUGGGGCGAAUCUGCAAGUGAGGAAGGGCGAAAAUAACACAGGGCGAAAAUAACCCUGUAUACAGUACUAGUAUGAUCCAACCAAAUACAUAUAUAAAAGUGCAGGGGAUGUUAAAUUUGUUUUAGUGUUGUUUAAAGCUCUUUUUUUUUUUUUACAUGCAAGUUUAUAGAAUUUGAUUAUAAAUCCAAUCAUGCAUAUAUAAAUCACCUUGUAUGUAUCGGGUGUGCUGACACAAAAAUAGCUGGAGAUCAUGGAGAGUUAUUUCCGAUAUUAACAAUUGUUUUUAGGUUUCUGAAAGCUUUUAUUAUUAUUUAUUUUGUGUGUGUGUGUAUAUGAACUUUGGUUACAUGAAAUAAGCAUGUAAGACUUGUUGGUUUCCAAGUUGUUAUUACAUUAUAAUAAGUGUUUAAUUUUGCUUUUGAAUUUCAAUAAAAUCUAUUUU
rnacentral:sRNA from 1 species